UCUGGUGACAAUAGGUGAGGGGAAACACACGUUCCCAUUCCGAACACGAUCGUUAAGCCCUCAAUCGCCGAUGGUAGUGCAGCCUAGCUGCUGUGCGAGAGUAGGUUAUUGCCAGUA
rnacentral:rRNA from 5 species